UACAGAGGUCUCAAGCGUUGUUCGGAUUCAUUGGGCGUGAAAGGGUGUGUAGGUGGCGCCGGUAAGUCGGGUGUGAAAUUCGGAUGCUUAACUCCGAAACUGCAUUCGAUACUGCGGUGCUUGAGGACUGGAGAGGAGACUGGAAUUCAUGGUGUAGCAGUGAAAUGCGUAGAGAUCAUGAGGAAGACCAGUGGCGAAGGCGGGUCUCUGGACAGUUCCUGACACUGAGACACGAAGGCCAGGGGAGCAAACGGG
rnacentral:rRNA from 1 species